UGAGAGUCUUCCCAACCCUCUCCUCCUCUUUUGGUUGUGGAUGGAAGGAUGAUCCUUCACCUCUUCUUAUUGAAAUCAUCAAGGUGGUGAAGGCUUGGCUCGAGGCAAGGAGCCAGCAAAGGAUUAGCACUCUUGUGGAGUUAAUCUUCUAAGUUUGCUUCAAUAGUUGGCGGCGUCGUGGUGCGUGGAGUGCUGGCAUCACCUUAUAUUAUUGUUUUUAUCUUCUCAUUUCCAGUCUUAUGUAUGUGUAUCUUUGAACAUGCUUGCAUUAUGUAAGGAAUGGGUCCACUAGUAUCUUUGAUUUCUAUAACCUGUAUUAGGGCAUACUUGUCUACUUUCUUUUGAAA